GACGAACGCUGGCAGCGUGCCUAACACAUGCAAGUCGAGCGGAGGCAUACGAGGAGCAAUCUGAGUAUGCCUGAGCGGCGGACGGGUGAGUAACGCGUGAGCAACCUGCCUUCCACAGGGGGAUAACGUACCGAAAGGUACACUAAUACCGCAUGAGACCACGUUACCGAUGGUAGUGGGGUCAAAGGAGCAAUCCGGUGGGAGAUGGGCUCGCGUCCGAUUAGGUAGUUGGCGGGGUAACGGCCCACCAAGCCUGUGAUCGGUAGCCGGCCUGAGAGGGUGAACGGCCACAUUGGAACUGAGAGACGGUCCAAACUCCUACGGGAGGCAGCAGUGGGGAAUAUUGGGCAAUGGGGGGAACCCUGACCCAGCAACGCCGCGUGAGGGAAGAAGGUUUUCGGAUUGUAAACCUCUGUUCUUGGAGAAGAGUGGAAGACGGUAUCCAAGGAGGAAGCCCCGGCUAACUACGUGCCAGCCGCCGCCGUAAAAC
rnacentral:rRNA from 1 species